rnacentral:rRNA from 1 species
UGUGGGUUGUGAAUAACAAUCCGUGCCGUCGCAAACGCAAUAAGUACCCCGCCUGAGGAGUACGAUCGCAAGAUUAAAACUCAAAGGAAUUGACGGGGACCCGCACAAGCAGCGGAGCAUGUGGUUUAAUUCGAUGCAACGCGAAGAACCUUACCUGGGCUUGACAUGUUCCCGACGGUCGUAGAGAUACGGCUUCCCUUCGGAGCGGGUUCACAGGUGGUGCAUGGUCGUCGUCAGCUCGUGUCGUGAGAUGUUGGGUUAAGUCCCGCAACGAGCGCAACCCUCGCCCCGUGUUGCCAGCGGAUUAUGCCGGGAACUCACGGGGGACCGCCGGGGUUAACUCGGAGGAAGGUGGGGAUGACGUCAGAUCAUCAUGCCCCUUACGUCCAGGGCUUCACGCAUGCUACAAUGGCCGGUACAACGGGAUGCGACGCGGCGACGCGGAGCGGAUCCCUGAAAACCGGUCUCAGUUCGGAUCGCAGUCUGCAACUCGACUGCGUGAAGGCGGAGUCGCUAGUAAUCGCGAAUCAGCAACGUCGCGGUGAAUGCGUUCCCGGGCCUUGUACACACCGCCCGUCAAGUCAUGAAAGUGGGCAGCACCCGAAGCCUGUGGGCUAACC